ensembl:ncRNA Y38F2AR.21 ncRNA
GCUUAGGAUUAGGCUUGGGCUUAGGCUUAGUCUUAAGCUUAAGCUUAGGCUUAGGAUUAGGCUUGGUUGGGCUUAGGCUUAGGCUUAUCCUUGGGCUCAGGAUUAGGCGUAGGUUUAAGCUGAAGCUUUGGCUUAGGAUU